rnacentral:rRNA from 1 species
CCUCUCUCCAUAGCGUUUUGGACCCACCCGACUCCAUUCCGAACCCAGAAGUGAAACGAAAUAGCGCCGAUGCUAGUGUGGGGUUUCCCCAUGUGAGAGUAGGACAUCGCCAGGC